GACCUCGGAUCAGGUAGGAAUACCCGCUGAACUUAAGCAUAUCAAUAAGCGGAGGAAAAGAAACCAACAGGGAUUGCCUCAGUAACGGCGAGUGAAGCGGCAAAAGCUCAAAUUUGAAAUCUGACCCUUCGGGUCCGAGUUGUAAUUUGCAGAGGAUGUUUCGGGUAAGAUUUAGGUCUAAGUUCCUUGGAACAGGACGUCAAAGAGGGUGAGAAUCCCGUACGUGACCGUUGAUCGCACCCAUGUGAAACUCCUUCGACGAGUCGAGUUGUUUGGGAAUGCAGCUCAAAAUGGGUGGUAAAUUUCAUCUAAAGCUAAAUAUUGGCCAGAGACCGAUAGCGCACAAGUAGAGUGAUCGAAAGAUGAAAAGCACUUUGAAAAGAGAGUUAAACAGUAUGUGAAAUUGUUGAAAGGGAAGCGCUUGCAACCAG
rnacentral:rRNA from 1 species